UGACAGGGCCCGUAUCCCGGUGUGACGAAUCAGUAAGCAACGCAGUGACGAAUUUUCACUUGCUUGUCUGAUAAGCUUUCCGUCUUUUUGAUUACUGAAGCAGUGGAUUGCUACUUCAUUCCAGAAGUUUCAAGCCAUAAUGAAAAAAAUUCUAGUUCGCAUUUGGUGAGAUGUGAUACUAUGGCUUCUUACUUCUUAAAUCGAUAUUUUAAUCAAUAAUUUAUGUUCUCGAGUGUUUCACUUGAUGAUUUGUCGGAUUUGUUUCACUAUAGUGCAUAUUCUUCAUAUUACUGAACCUUCUCACGGCGUUGCUUCGGCUUGGGCAUUCUUUCAUCUCCUUCCCCUUUUUCAAUUUAGAUUUGGGGAUUUCACAGCCUGUGACUGUUAUAUAAAAAACUUCCGUUUCCUUUCUCGUUCUCUGUUAUGAUUCCCUGAACUGCAAAUUUUAAGUUCAUUUUCUUAGUACUUUCCAGUGCAUCUGAAAUUUGCAAGAUCAUUUUCAUCUUGGCAGGUGGUUUGUUGGAUGCGAACAGGGGAACGACUAGCAUCGAAGAUGAGAAUGGCGUAAUGUCGAUAGAGAAUCAAGAUCCAAGUCUAUUUGAUUCAGAGGCGUUAAACAGGAGAGGUUAGAUCUGUCAUUACCAGGACAUUAUCGUUGUUCAGGAUGCACUAUCUGGAAAGGUAUAUGUACACUGCAUCAGUCCUCAUGUCUGAUAUCAACUCUAGAAAAGUAGUGAGAUUUGGAGGGUAUAUUUUCAGCUGGUAAAAGAUUACUGGUUGUAUUCUUCUGGUUUGACUUGAAAUGCUUCAAAUGCAGUGUUUUCAGACACUAUCUUUAUGUUCGUGAAAUUUGAUCCGCACGCCUUAUGUAAAAUUGGUUAAAAUUGUUUGCGCUGAUAUGUUAAAGUUCAAACUUCUGCUUUGCCAUGCAUGAAUAAGAAGCUGAGAAUUUUUGUUGGCAGCUUUCUGAGAAGCAAAGAUACUUCAUAAAACCAUUUAAUUAGCUUAGUCUCUCUCUCUAUUUUUUUUUUAAUUAGAUGCUAUAUUAUGUAAUUUGUAUCUCUUGGCCUCUAUUGAAUGCUUGGCUUGAAUCAACUGUUUUGUUUGCGAAUUAAAAUUUCUGAUAGGCAAUGAAUUAUCUCAUUAGCCACUCUGGUGUGCAAUCUCUUUUAUGUUUAUUAUUUAUUACUUAGGUGGGCCCCUAUAUAUCAUAUGAAAUUGAGAAAUGACUUGCAUUGUUUAUUUUUGGUUUGUGAGUAGUGCUACCUGUUAUGGAUUCUUAUUUUAUGCCAUUGUUUUACGAAUUAACAGAAGCAGGUUUCUUGACAAAACUCCGAUGCUUAAGUUAGUAAAUGUUGAAAGAGUGUGUGAUAUUAAUGGGAAUUUAUAAAGGACGAGCUGAGGGAAAAUAUGUACUUCGAUGUUUUUUUUUUUUUUGGGAAAAAAAUUGGUUUAUUCCUUUGUAGUAAUCGAUAAUUUCUUCUUUGAUGUCAAUAAUGUUCAUAAAGAUAUCUCACGGGAGGGGUCUCUGUUCACAUAAUGUUGGCUAAAUACACCGUAUUCUUGAUAUCCUAUGCGGAUUUCCUUUUGCAUAAUGCUCAGAAAGUUGAAGGUCAAAAGCAUGAGAACGAUAAUGUUUUAAAUUUUUGGGCUCCAAGACAGAACGCAUCAAGAGAAACAAAAAAGUAAACACAUUAUGAAUCAAGAUAACAGAUUGUUCGACUGUAAUUAUCUUUUAUUAGAAAUUCAGGAUAAACUUAAAACUUGAGUCCAGUAUGAUCUACAACCAGAUUAUCAUGCCUUGAAGCACAUUUAAAUAUAUGCCAAAUCAUAUAGGAUAAUGGGAUCAAAUUUUGUAUGUUCAAUGCUUAUUUUAUUUAUGAGUAUUCUGUAAAAAACUACGAUACUGACAAGAAGCGCACAUUCUGAGGCAGAAAUCACGUGACACAUCACCUCUCUACGGCUAAAUACACCAAGGGCCAUCAAGUUUAUUACGUUCAUGUAGAUAAGCUUAUGGGCAUUUUUGGGACUAAAGGUAACUAAGUCCCAUGUUGAAUACAACAUAAUCAAAAUUGGAGUAUAAAAGGUAGGAAACCAACGCAAUUAGUUACGACCUUACUUGAACAGGAUCUGUUCUAUAGGCUCGUACAUCUGUGUCCUUGAGUUUGAAGGAGACAAGAACCACAGCUUGGUUGAUCAAGUAUGACCAGGUAAUCAGAGCGUGAUUAUUGGUCUGGUUGCCCAGAUUUUUGUUAGCUUGGCUGCAGACGAUCAUUCCCAGGCAGUUCAACUGUGUGGGAUGGUCACUUGGUUGUCUGACAAGCUUCCAAUACUUUUUGCUAGUCCAUCUAACUUCUCAUUAUAUUUUAUGAUUAAGUUGUUACUCUUUUUUUUCUUUUUUAAAUAUUCUGAGUCAAACCCCCCCCCCCCCCAAUGUGUGUUUUAUCUUGCAGGAUGGCUGAAGCACCAUGUUCUUUGGAAGGACCGCCCUUCUUUGUAUCCGUUAUGUUUAAAUUGUUAUUCUUUUUUUCAAGUAUUCUGAGCUUGGAAGCAAACUUUUCCUCCUAUGCAUGCUAUGUUUUGCUGGAUGGCUUAAGCACCAUGUUCAUAUAUUUGGAAGGAUCGCUCUUCUUUUUACGCAUUUGUCUUGGACUUCAUCUAAAUCUUUUGAAGAGAAUAAACCAAAUCAGAAGCACAAAUUCUCAAAUAAAAAGGCACGUGACAGCAGUUUUGUUGAGCCAAAUACCAAAAGUGCCCUCAAGUUUGCGGAGUUCGUGAGGAUAAGCUUAUGGGCAUUCUUGCGACAUAAGCGAACUAAAUCCCACACCGAGCACACACGACCAAAAUUGGAGUAUAAAAGAGUGACUGAAGUACUAUUUCCCGAAACAUAGAGAAAGAUCGUCCUUCUUUGGGCGUUCGUCUUUUAGAAUAUAGUGAAGAGAUUAUGUCGAGUCAGAUUGCAAGAUGCCGGGCUUAGAUCUGAUUUAUGAAGGCUGCUUGUUUUGUAUUCAUAGCUUCGAUGUUGAUUUAGUGGCCAUGUGAAUCUGGACAUCUGGUUGUUGUGAUUGAAUUUUAAUGUUUUAAAGACUUAAGUAGACGGUAGGCUUGAGCUUGAAUCUUGUUUCAAGUAAAUUAUACCAUGCAUAACGCUUUAUUAGUACGUUGUUGAUUUAGCUUGAAUUGUUGUUUCUUAAUACGCUGCUUUGCUGUGUUGAAUUUUAAUUUUGAUUGAAUAUGGAUCUA